UUUUUGUAAAUAAUUUUUUGUUGGAAUGUCAAAUUUAUUCAACAAAAGAAAAUGAUUACAAAGAGUUUUGAAAGCUAAAAAAUAGAGAAAAUAAACGUGAAAAGUAGAAACAAAAAUAAUGGAAUUGGCGCCACUUACAUCAUUACAGAAAGUUCAAAAGGCCUAAUUCUGACACAAUAUUAUUAACGGGCCAUGGGCUUAAUGACAAUAAUAAACUUUUCUCACUUUUGAGUUUUAAUAAGCCCACAUUUGCUUUAGGGUUUCUGCGUCUCUACCUUUAAAUUGCUUCCGACGAUUCAUAAACUAGGGUUUCUGCCUUUAGCCGUCGUGAGAGAGAGAGCAAAUCGAAGAGAGAGCAAAGAGAAAAUAAUAUGUUGUUUGCGUUUGGUACGGUGACUCGAUCUGUGGCUAAUUCAGUGGUGGUUUGCUACGGCUUUCUUUCGACAAUGGUGUUUUCUUUCGACCUAAACUUGAUAGACCGAACCAAACUGAACCAAUUUUUAUAUAUAUUUACUCAAUUAAAUCCUAAACUCCUCUAUUUGAUCUGAACCCGAUCAACCCGAAUACAUAAAUAUCUAAUCUUAUCCAUCUGAAAGGAUACUAAACUCUCUAAUUCGAAUUACCCGAAUCCAGAAAAAGCCGAAUAGCAUGCAUUCUAUUGGUACUUGAUUAUAUUAAUUGGCAUAUAUAUGACCUGUUAUUGCCAAUAAUAUAUUUUGGGUGUU
rnacentral:sRNA from 1 species